CCCCCUGGAACGUGGCCCUUCCCUCGCAGGUCAGACGCCAUCCGCUGUCCGCCGCUUCCGUGGCCUCCGGAGCCGUGUGCGCAGGUUCGAAUCCUGCCGGGGGUA
rnacentral:tRNA from 1 species